AAGUCGUAACAAGGUUUCCGUAGGUGAACCUGCGGAAGGAUCAUUACAAUAAUGGACUUUGUCCAGUACACUCUCGUGUACCCUCUGUGAACCAUCUGGUUUCUUUGGCGAUGUCUCACGACUCGUCAAACUAAAACUCUGAUAAUCUGAUACUGUCUGAGUUUUAUGAAAUACAUAAAAACUUUCAACAACGGAUCUCUUGGUUCCA
rnacentral:misc_RNA from 1 species